CCUACGGGUGGCAGCAGUGGGGAAUAUUGGACAAUGGGCGAAAGCCUGAUCCAGCCAUGCCGCGUGUGUGAAGAAGGCCUUCGGGUUGUAAAGCACUUUCAGUGGGGAAGAAAGCCUUGGGGCUAAUACCCUCGAGGAAGGACAUCACCCACAGAAGAAGCACCGGCUAACUCCGUGCCAGCAGCCGCGGUAAUACGGAGGGUGCGAGCGUUAAUCGGAAUUACUGGGCGUAAAGCGCGCGUAGGCGGUCUGAUAAGCCGGUUGUGAAAGCCCCGGGCUCAACCUGGGAACGGCAUCCGGAACUGUCAGGCUAGAGUGCAGGAGAGGAAGGUAGAAUUCCCGGUGUAGCAGUGAAAUGCGUAGAGAUCGGGAGGAAUACCAGUGGCGAAGGCGGCCUUCUGGACUGACACUGACGCUGAGGUGCGAAAGCGUGGGUAGUAAACAGGAUUAGAUACCCCGGUAGUC
rnacentral:rRNA from 1 species